rnacentral:rRNA from 1 species
AGAGUUUGAUCAUGGCUCAGAUUGAACGCUGGCGGCAGGCCUAACACAUGCAAGUCGAACGGUAACAGAAAGCAGCUUGCUGCUUUGCUGACGAGUGGCGGACGGGUGAGUAAUGUCUGGGAAACUGCCUGAUGGAGGGGGAUAACUACUGGAAACGGUAGCUAAUACCGCAUAACGUCGCAAGACCAAAGAGGGGGACCUUCGGGCCUCUUGCCAUCGGAUGUGCCCAGAUGGGAUUAGCUAGUAGGUGGGGUAACGGCUCACCUAGGCGACGAUCCCUAGCUGGUCUGAGAGGAUGACCAGCCACACUGGAACUGAGACACGGUCCAGACUCCUACGGGAGGCAGCAGUGGGGAAUAUUGCACAAUGGGCGCAAGCCUGAUGCAGCCAUGCCGCGUGUAUGAAGAAGGCCUUCGGGUUGUAAAGUACUUUCAGCGGGGAGGAAGGGAGUAAAGUUAAUACCUUUGCUCAUUGACGUUACCCGCAGAAGAAGCACCGGCUAACUCCGUGCCAGCAGCCGCGGUAAUACGGAGGGUGCAAGCGUUAAUCGGAAUUACUGGGCGUAAAGCGCACGCAGGCGGUUUGUUAAGUCAGAUGUGAAAUCCCCGGGCUCAACCUGGGAACUGCAUCUGAUACUGGCAAGCUUGAGUCUCGUAGAGGGGGGUAGAAUUCCAGGUGUAGCGGUGAAAUGCGUAGAGAUCUGGAGGAAUACCGGUGGCGAAGGCGGCCCCCUGGACGAAGACUGACGCUCAGGUGCGAAAGCGUGGGGAGCAACAGGAUUAGAUACCCUGGUAGUCCAC